rnacentral:rRNA from 1 species
GUGCCAGCAGCCGCGGUAAUACGGGGGGUGCAAGCGUUGUUCGGAAUCAUUGGGCGUAAAGAGCGUGUAGGCGGCUUGACAAGUCAGAUGUGAAAUCCCUGGGCUUAACCCAGGAAGUGCAUUUGAAACUGUCUAGCUAGAGUAAGGGAGAGGAAAGUGGAAUUCCUGGUGUAGAGGUGAAAUUCGUAGAUAUCAGGAGGAACACCGGUGGCGAAGGCGACUUUCUGGCCCUAUACUGACGCUGAGACGCGAAAGCGUGGGUAGCAAACAGGAUUAGAAACCCGCGUAGUCC